GUGUCAGCAGCCGCGGUAAUACGGAGGGUGCGAGCGUUGUCCGGAUUUAUUGGGUUUAAAGGGUGCGUAGGCGGCCUUAUAAGUCAGCGGUGAAAGUCAGUGGCUCAACCAUUGGAGUGCCGUUGAUACUGUUGGGCUUGAGUACGGGAGAGGUACAUGGAAUUUAUGGUGUAGCGGUGAAAUGCAUAGAUACCAUAAGGAACACCGAUAGCGUAGGCAUUGUACUUGCCCGUAACUGACGCUGAGGCACGAAAGCAUGGGUAGCGAACAGGAUUAGAUACCCUGGUAGUCCAUGCCGUAAACGAUGAUCACUCGCUGUCAUGCCCUUGCGGUGUGGCGGCCAAGCGAAAGCGUUAAGUGAUCCACCUGGGGAGUACGCCGGCAACGGUGAA
rnacentral:rRNA from 1 species